GACAAACGCUGGCGGCGUGCCUAAUACAUGCAAGUUGAGCGCUGAAGGUUGGUACUUGUACCAACUGGAUGAGCAGCGAACGGGUGAGUAACGCGUGGGGAAUCUGCCUUUGAGCGGGGGACAACAUUUGGAAACGAAUGCUAAUACCGCAUAAAAACUUUAAACACAAGUUUUAAGUUUGAAAGAUGCAAUUGCAUCACUCAAAGAUGAUCCCGCGUUGUAUUAGCUAGUUGGUGAGGUAAAGGCUCACCAAGGCGAUGAUACAUAGCCGACCUGAGAGGGUGAUCGGCCACAUUGGGACUGAGACACGGCCCAAACUCCUACGGGAGGCAGCAGGAGGGAAUCUUCGGCAAGAGACGAAAGUCUGACCGAGCAACGCCGCGUGAGUGAAGAAGGUUGUCGGAUCGUAAAACUCUGUUGGUAGAGAAGAACGUUGGUGAGAGUGGAAAGCUCAUCAAGUGACGGUAACUACCCAGAAAGGGACGGCUAACUACGUG
rnacentral:rRNA from 1 species